AUUGAACGCUGGCGGAAUGCUUUACACAUGCAAGUCGAGCGGCAGCGCGGGGCAACCUGGCGGCGAGCGGCGAACGGGUGAGUAAUACAUCGGAACGUGCCCAGACGUGGGGGAUAACUACUCGAAAGAGUGGCUAAUACCGCAUACGAUCUAAGGAUGAAAGCGGGGGAUCGCAAGACCUCGCGCGUUUGGAGCGGCCGAUGGCAGAUUAGGUAGUUGGUGGGGUAAAGGCUUACCAAGCCCGCGAUCUGUAGCUGGUCUGAGAGGAUGAUCAGCCACACUGGGACUGAGACACGGCCCAGACUCCUACGGGAGGCAGCAGUGGGGAAUUUUGGACAAUGGGGGAAACCCUGAUGCAGCCAUGCCGCGUGUGUGAAGAAGGCCU
rnacentral:rRNA from 1 species